rnacentral:rRNA from 1 species
CAGUCGCCACGGGAAUACGUAGGUCCCGAGCGUUGUCCGGAUUUAUUGGGCGUAAAGCGAGCGCAGGCGGUUAGAUAAGUCUGAUGUGAAAGCCCCCGGCUCAACCGGGGAGGGUCAUUGGAAACUGGGAAACUUGAGUGCAGAAGAGGAGAGUGGAAUUCCACGUGUAGCGGUGAAAUGCGUAGAGAUGUGGAGGAACACCAGUGGCGAAGGCGACUCUCUGGUCUGUAACUGACGCUGAGGAGCGAAAGCGUGGGGAGCGAACAGGAUUAGAUACCCGAGUAGUCCCUGUCUCUUAUAC